UACGUAGGGGGCAAGCGUUGUCCGGAAUCAUUGGGCGUAAAGCGCGUGUAGGCGGCUCGAUAAGUCUGCUGUGAAAGUCCAGGGCUCAACCCUGGGAUGCCGGUGGAUACUGUCGAGCUCGAGUCCGGAAGAGGAGUGUGGAAUUCCUGGUGUAGCGGUGAAAUGCGCAGAUAUCAGGAGGAACACCAAUGGCGAAGGCAGCACUCUGGGACGUGAC
rnacentral:rRNA from 1 species